CACGUUUUCCACAAAACUUCUUCCUUCUUUUGACCUUUAACACUGCAUUGCUAUGUUCCCCUUUGUUCCUAUGACACCCUGAAAUCCCUAUCCUUCUAGAACCAAAUAUAUUUAUACCCUUAACUUCAUUGCACAUAAUCUCCCCUUGUAAUCUUGAUCCUGGCAUUGACUUUAUCCCCCAAUAUAUAUUCUGGUUUACCUUUUAUCUCUCUGCAUGUUCUUUUCAUGUCCCCUGCUUCAGGCUCUGCACCACCAUCUGUGCCCUUGAUCACUUUUCCCCUGUGCCCUAUUCUGUCAUGUGUCAUGCAAACAAGGUCACUCUCUAUAUGCUUCAGCAUUGAACAAUUGCUGCUGGCAGUUGUUGGCAAAUUCCCACGAGUUGGAGUUCAUACAGAGAUCAAGUUCUGAGUCAGGUCAAAUUAUGAGAAAUGAGUAUCAGCAAGCUGUCAGACAGUUUAGAGGGUGAAAAUUCUCUGUGGGUAUGUUUUUCAGGGCUCAGCAGGGCCAUUUCUGAACCCCCCAGCCUCUGCUAGGGUGCUGAUUUUCACUGUGCUGUAGCUGCACAGUGGUUGCCUUCAGGGCAGCCUUGAGCUGAGGAGAUGAGAGUGGAUUAAGCUAAAAUGACAGAAGUCACUCUUGAGCCUGCUGGUGUGGACUUAUGGAGCUCUCUAGAAAGGAAACUACAUUGCUUCUAGCUGACUAGGUCAAGGAUAGCAUAAGGCAUGCAGUGCUCCAUCACGGUCUCAGGUACAUGAGGUCAUCCUCCAGUUAAAUGGAGAAUCCCAGAGACCAGAGCACUUUCCCCUCACUUUCAUUAGAAUGUAUUCUUGUAACUGUUCCACUUCUUUACAAGUUACUGUGAUUAAUAUCUUUCUACCCCUAAAUGAUAACCUGAUCUUUAUCAUAUGUGUGUGCACAUGUAUAGUAAAACAGUUUCAGUAGUAAAUGUGGAUUCAUGAACCCAUCAGGGAUCUUGGACUGCAUUCCCUUGCGUAAGGAAGGGGUAGUGCCUGACAGUCUCCACUGUCCAGUGCAGUAGCAGAACCCAACCUGCAGGGCACUUCCUCCUACCUGCUCUUCUCCAGCUACUCAUUAUUUCAUCUCCACUCUCUAAUAAAAAAUGUAUACAUUGGGGGAAAGAAACCCCUGUUCCACAUGUGUCCCAGCUACUUUCUGAUUCUAAUUUCUCUCCUUGAAGAUCCCACUCUUACACUAUCAUUUUGAUAGUUUUAAAGUGCUUAAGAUUUCUUUGGAAUUUAUGCUAAUACCUAAGUUGUUCACUCUACCUGUAUCUCUUCUAUCCUCAACUCAGCCUUUCUAAUAAAAUUUAAAAUUAGGUGUUCUUAAGUAAGCCAUGACAAAAAAUUGUAGAUUUCUCAAAUGUUCCCCAUAGGAUUCACAUUCACAGACAUACAUGGUCUCAUGUGGCAUUCUAGAUGAUAUAACUUGGGUGAUGAGAAUAGAGUGACCAGGGCAAUCAAGCAAAAAGAAAUUUAUAUCCAUGUAUAAUAAUGAGUUUUACCUCCAAAGACUCUAUACAAAUCUGUGCCUAUUAGGACUCUCACAUCACCUGCCUCCCACCUGUUGUUCCUACUCUGAUCUUUUCCAUAUCCCUACUGUCACCAAACAGUCUACUGAAACAUGGAUCAUUUGGUCUUCCUAUUUACAACCUAGCCUAACUGCAUAAGCUAGCCUAACUAACUCCAUAUCCACCAACCAAGAGGGGAAGUAAGGGCCAUAUAAACAUUAAAUAGGGAGGAGAGUGUGGAAAGUCACAAAGGUGCCCACCAGGCAAGGAUUCUCUGGGUGGCUCUGGACUCAGGGAAGGUUUUGGGAGGAACUUUGAUGCUGUGAAUGUGCUGAAUCCUCUUCUUGUGUCUGUAAGAAUAAGAAUUAUGGAGCCACUGGAACAGAUUUGAGCAAAGAAAAGACAACUUCAGUAAUACAAAUAAUGUUGCAUAUAAAAAGUCUGUGAUUUUGUCAUGACUUACAAUAGAACAUCACCCGUAAUCUGUUUUCUCUUUGUGACUUCACUGUUGCAUUUUCCAAGCACAUAGGAGGGAAAAUGAAAUUUAUCAUCAUAAAAAGGAUCCAGCAGAGGGAAAUGGAGAAGCCAAUGUGCUUUGGAGCUAUUAAUUUAAGAGCCCUCCCACAGGAGGCUUUACGGGGCUGAUCGUGAUGCUCUGGAAGACACUCAAGAAGCAGGUGAUGCCAAUGGAUACAUUCCUGCCCACUCAUUGAAUAUAUGAAAUAAUUUUGCAUCAAAGGUCAUUUAAAAAGUGUUCCAUCACAAAAGCUGCCAUUAUCAGGGAAAUUCCAUUAGAGAGAAUGAGGAGGGGGCUGGCUAUAUUUAGGACUUGAGGCUCAAAUCAGUGGGCCUUAAUGGAUGCCUACUAUAGGAAAGGAGUAGGUAGUAGUAAAGAAGAUAGAAUUUCCCAGAAUCCCAAGUGUAAUCUGUGGUAAGAGCAUCAGUCUUAUGACCACGUCUCUGGAGGCCAUUCUGUCAUUUAGCACAGUUUUGUUUGGAUUAUGGCAACAGCCAUCCCUAUGACCAAAAUGCCUCAUUAAAAUGAUUUUUAUCCAGAGACUGGUGUGCACUUGUAGUCACCAACUACUUGGGAUGCCGAGGCAGGAGAAAUACUUGAGCUAGGAGUUUGAAACCAUCCUGGGCAACACAG
rnacentral:lncRNA from 1 species